rnacentral:ncRNA from 1 species
UCCUCGAAACGGCAACUUGUCUCGAAAGAGCAAGACGCAAAUUAACGAGUCUAACCCUUUAUAGGCAUGAUGGUCGUUAAUACCGAA